GUAUUCUUCGCAAAUGCUCAGCCUCCAGACCAAUCUUCGACGUCGCCGCUCGCUGCUCCCUUAGGGAUGCCGCUGGCUCGUCACGGAUUGGCGCUUGAUUUCAAGCCUGCGCACAUUUCGCCAACAUGAAGCCACGGACAUCCGUGGCUUUUUG
rnacentral:ncRNA from 1 species